UACGGAGGGUGCAAGCGUUAUCCGGAUUCACUGGGUUUAAAGGGUGCGUAGGUGGGCUGGUAAGUCAGUGGUGAAAUCUCCAGGCUUAACUUGGAAACUGCCAUUGAUACUAUCAGUCUUGAAUACCGUGGAGGUCAGCGGAAUAUGUCAUGUAGCGGUGAAAUGCUUAGAUAUGAACAUAGAACACCAAUUGCGAAGGCAGCUGGCUACACGAAUAUUGACACUGAUGCACGAAAGCGUGGGGAUCAAACAGG
rnacentral:rRNA from 1 species